CUAGCGACAGGCUUAACACAUGCAAGUCGAGCCUUAGCACAGGUAGCAAUACCGGGUGGCGACCGGCGCACGGGUGAGUAACGCGUAUGCAACUUGCCUAUCAGAGGGGGAUAACCCGGCGAAAGUCGGACUAAUACCGCAUGAAGCAGGGGCCCCGCAUGGGGAUAUUUGCUAAAGAUUCAUCGCUGAUAGAUAGGCAUGCGUUCCAUUAGGCAGUUGGCGGGGUAACGGCCCACCAAACCGACGAUGGAUAGGGGUUCUGAGAGGAAGGUCCCCCACAUUGGUACUGAGACACGGACCAAACUCCUACGGGAGGCAGCAGUGAGGAAUAUUGGUCAAUGGCCGAGAGGCUGAACCAGCCAAGUUGCGUGAGGGAUGAAGGUUCUAUGGAUCGUAAACCUCUUUUAUAAGGGAAUAAAGUGCGGGACGUGUCCCGUUUUGUAUGUACCUUAUGAAUAAGGAUCGGCUAACUCCGUGCCAGCAGCCGCGGUAAUGCGGAGGAUCCGAGCGUUAUCCGGAUUUAUUGGGUUUAAAGGGUGCGUAGGCGGCCUUUUAAGUCAGCGGUGAAAGUCUGUGGCUCAACCAUAGAAUUGCCGUUGAAACUGGGGGGCUUGAGUAUGUUUGAGGCAGGCGGAAUGCGUGGUGUAGCGGUGAAAUGCAUAGAUAUCACGCAGAACCCCGAUUGCGAAGGCAGCCUGCCAAGCCAUUACUGACGCUGAUGCACGAAAGCGUGGGGAUCAAACAGGAUUAGAUACCCUGGUAGUCCACGCAGUAAACGAUGAUCACUAGCUGUUUGCGAUACACUGUAAGCGGCACAGCGAAAGCGUUAAGUGAUCCACCUGGGGAGUACGCCGGCAACGGUGAAACUCAAAGGAAUUGACGGGGGCCCGCACAAGCGGAGGAACAUGUGGUUUAAUUCGAUGAUACGCGAGGAACCUUACCCGGGUUUGAACGCAUUCGGACCGAGGUGGAAACACCUUUUCUAGCAAUAGCCGUUUGCGAGGUGCUGCAUGGUUGUCGUCAGCUCGUGCCGUGAGGUGUCGGCUUAAGUGCCAUAACGAGCGCAACCCUUGCCACUAGUUACUAACAGGUAAAGCUGAGGACUCUGGUGGGACUGCCAGCGUAAGCUGCGAGGAAGGCGGGGAUGACGUCAAAUCAGCACGGCCCUUACAUCCGGGGCGACACACGUGUUACAAUGGCGUGGACAAAGGGAAGCCACCUGGCGACAGGGAGCGAAUCCCCAAACCACGUCUCAGUUCGGAUCGGAGUCUGCAACCCGACUCCGUGAAGCUGGAUUCGCUAGUAAUCGCGCAUCAGCCAUGGCGCGGUGAAUACGUUCCCGGGCCUUGUACACACCGCCCGUCAAGCCAUGGGAGCCGGGGGUACCUGAAGUCCGUAACCGCGAGGAUCGGCCUAGGGUAAAACUA
rnacentral:rRNA from 1 species